rnacentral:rRNA from 1 species
UACGUAGGGUGCGAGCGUUAAUCGGAAUUACUGGGCGUAAAGCGUGCGCAGGCGGUUUUGUAAGCCAGAUGUGAAAUCCCCGGGCUCAACCUGGGAAUGGCAUUUGGGACUGCAAGGCUGGAGUUUGGCAGAGGAGACUGGAAUUCCCGAUGUAGCAGUGAAAUGCGUAGAUAUCGGGAGGAAUACCGAUGGCGAAGGCAGGUCUCUGGGCUAUAACUGACGCUCAUGCACGAAAGCGUGGGGAGCAAACAGG